GGCCCCGCCAUGGCUGGGAAGGACAGUGGCAACCUGAAGACGGUGAGGCUGUGGCGGGACGCCGCCCUUCGCGCCAGGAAGCUGCGGAGCAACCUGCGCCAGCUAACGCUUAGCGCGACUGGGGGCUGCCCCGGAGCCGGAGCCGGAGCUGAUCCGCUGGAGUCCCCGGACGCUCCCCAGCUAGUGCUGCCCGCCAACAUCGGGGACAUUGAAGUGCUGAACCUGGGGAACAACGGCCUGGAGGAGGUGCCUGAAGGGCUGGGGUCGGCCCUUGGCAGCCUACGCGUCCUGGUCCUGCGCAGGAACCGCUUUGCCCGGCUGCCCCCUGCGGUGGCAGAGCUCGGCCACCAUCUCACCGAACUGGACGUGAGCCACAAUCGGCUGACAGCCCUGGGCGCCGAGGUGGUGAGUGCCCUAAGGGAGCUGCGCAAGCUAAACCUCAGCCAUAACCAGCUACCUGCCCUGCCCUCCCAGCUGGGCGUCCUUGCCCACCUGGAGGAGCUGGAUGUUAGUUUCAACCGGCUGGCGCACCUGCCCGACUCCCUUUCCUGCCUCUACCGCCUGCGCACCCUCGAUGUGGACCACAACCAGCUCACUGCCUUUCCCCGGCAGCUGCUGCAACUGGCGGCCCUGGAGGAACUGGACGUGUCCAGCAACCGGCUGAGAGGCCUACCUGAGGAUAUCAGUGCCCUGCGUGCCCUCAAGAUCCUCUGGCUGAGUGGGGCCGAGCUUGGCACUCUGCCCAACGGCUUCUGCGAGCUUUCCAGUUUGGAGAGCCUCAUGCUUGACAACAACGGGCUGCAGGCUCUGCCCACCCAGUUCAGCCAGCUCCAAAGACUCAAAAUGCUCAAUCUGUCUUCCAACCUCUUUGAGGAGUUCCCUGCCGCUCUGCUGCCCCUGGCUGGUCUGGAGGAGCUUUACCUUAGUCGCAACCAGCUCACCUCAGUGCCAUCCCUUAUCUCGGGGCUGGGACGGCUUCUCACUCUGUGGCUGGAUAAUAACCGCAUCCGAUACCUGCCCGACUCCAUUGUGGAACUGACAGGCCUGGAGGAGUUGGUGCUGCAAGGGAACCAGAUCGCAGUGCUGCCUGACAACUUUGGCCAGCUCUCCCGUGUGGGACUGUGGAAGAUCAAGGACAACCCACUGAUACAGCCCCCUUACGAGGUCUGCAUGAAGGGGAUCCCCUACAUAGCGGCCUACCAGAAGGAGCUAGCUCAUUCCCAGCCAGCGGUGCAGCCCCGCCUCAAGCUGCUCCUGAUGGGGCAUAAGGCUGCAGGAAAGACCUUGCUCCGGCACUGCCUCACUGAGGAGAGAGUGGAGGGAAGCCAUGGAGGAGGGGACAAAGAGAAGAGCUACCCACCUUCCCCUCCCACCAGUAGCAAGGGCAUUGAGGUGACCAGCUGGACAGCUGAUGCUUCCAGGGGUCUUCGGUUCAUCGUGUAUGAUUUAGCUGGUGAUGAAAGCUAUGAGGUGAUCCAGCCCUUCUUCCUUUCCCCAGGAGCCCUGUAUGUGCUGGUAGUCAACUUGGCCACCUAUGAACCACGCCGCUUUCCCAGUACUGUGGGCUCCUUCUUGCAUCGGGUUGGGGCACGGGUUCCUCAUGCUGUGGUGUGCAUUGUGGGCACACAUGCAGACCUAUGUGAGGAGCGGGAGCUGGAGGAGAAGUGUCUGGAUAUUCACCGCCAGAUUGCCCUGCAGGAGAAGCACGAUGCUGAGGGCCUGAGCCGUCUAGCCCAGGUGGUAGAUGAGGCCUUGACCCGGGACUUUGAGCUUCGUUCUGCCAGCCCCCACGCAGCCUACUAUGGUGUUUCUGACAAGAACCUUCGGCGACGCAAGGCCCAUUUUCAAUACCUGCUCAACCACCGGCUGCAGAUCCUCUCUCCAGUAUUGCCCGUUAGCUGCAGGGAUCCCCGUCAAUUGCAGCGCCUUCGGGACAAACUGCUUUCUGUAGCUGAGCACCGAGAAAUCUUCCCCAACUUACAUAGAGUCCUGCCUCGAUCCUGGCAGGUGCUGGAGGAACUGCAUUUCCAACCACCACAGGCACAACGACUUUGGCUCAGCUGGUGGGACUCUGCGCGCCUGGGCCUGCAGGCAGGGCUGACCGAGGACCGACUGCAGAGUGCCCUUUCCUACUUGCACGAGAGCGGCAAGUUGCUCUACUUUGAGGAUAGCCCGGCCCUCAAGGAGCACGUCUUCCACAACCUCACCCGCCUCAUUGACAUCCUCAAUGUCUUUUUCCAGAGGGAUGCUUCCUUGCUGCUGCAUAAACUGCUACUGGGGACCAGUGGAGAGAGCGAGGGUGAGGGGGAAAGCUCCCCAGUGAUGUCGCUGCCCACCCAGAGCCAGGACCUGCUCCGGGCCACCCAGCUCCAUCACUAUGUGGAGGGCUUUCUGCUGCAUGGGCUCCUGCCAGCCCAUGUCAUUCGAUUGCUGCUUAAGCCUCAUAUCCAGGCUCAGCAGGACUUGCAGCUGCUGCUGGAGCUGCUGGAGAAGAUGGGACUCUGUUACUGCCUCAAUAAACCUAAGGGCAAGCCUUUGAAUGGGUCCACGGCUUGGUACAAGUUCCCAUGCUAUGUGCAGAAUGAGGUGCCCCAUGCAGAGGCAUGGAUUAAUGGGACCAACCUAGCAGGGCAGUCUUUUGUGGCUGAGCAGCUGCAGAUCGAAUAUAGUUUUCCCUUUACCUUUCCACCUGGGUUGUUUGCACGCUACAGUGUCCAGAUCAACAGUCAUGUAGUGCACAGAUCGGAUGGUAAAUUUCAGAUCUUUGCAUAUAGAGGAAAGGUUCCUGUGGUGGUGAGUUACAGACCUGCCAAGGGGGUCCUGCAGCCAGAUACCCUGUCCAUUGCCAGCCAUGCAUCUUUACCAAAUAUAUGGACCGCAUGGCAAGCCAUCACCCCCUUGGUAGAGGAACUGAAUGUCCUACUUCAGGAAUGGCCUGGACUGCACUACACGGUGCACAUCCUCUGUUCUAAGUGCCUUAAGAGAGGGUCGCCCAAUCCACACGCUUUCCCAGGGGAGUUGCUGAGCCAGCCCAGACCAGAAGGAGUGGCAGAAAUCAUUUGCCCCAAGAACGGCAGCGAGCGAGUGAAUGUUGCCUUGGUUUACCCACCUACGCCGACUGUGAUCAGCCCCUGUUCUAAGUACCUUCAUACUUUCUUGGAAAAUUAAAUGGAAAAGAUAGUGCUUCUUUCCCUUAUGCCAUCAUUUUUACUGUACCAAAUCUGUGACUUUAGGAGCACCAAGUUUUAAGGGAAGAACGUUGGUGAAAAGCACAGAAACCAGUGACUUGUGGCUGUGGGAUUUCCAUGGAGAAAAUAGAGCAUCAGAACUCACCUGGGGAACCCUCCGCACUUCCAGGCACGUGCUAAGCACUGGAGCGAAGACAUGCUCAGGGUGCUUCCAGAGGACCACCGCAGAGGUGGGGAGGGGGCGGGGGAAGGAGGGAGAGAGCAUGGAGCUAAUGUUUCACAACCGGAACCUCAGAACUGUGAUCCUCCAAGGAGAGCGCUACUUGAAGAAAAGAAAAAAAAAAUUUUUUUUGAAUGGCUUCUCAGGGAUUUUGUUUUCCGUGCACAUAUAAGCCAUAGUUACAGUAUAGUGGCAGUAUUUAGAGCACUCGGGUUUCAGUUCUGUUCAAUGUGAAAGAGGGAUCGACUGACAUUCAUUGCUGUUCCGUAACUAGUGUAAAAUAUGUAUAUGUUUAUCUUUAUUUUUAUAAUAUGCAAAUACAUUUAAAUUUAUACAGUUUGAAGCUUCUAGCGUUAGUUAACACUGGGUGCAAUAUUUUGCAUGAGGACUGUGCCAAGAUGGGGCUGAUUUCUUAUUUUAGUGUAAGACUUUUUUGUUCUUUCUUUAUUCUUUACCUCCUCAGAUUUAAAAAAGAAAAGAAAAAAGAUGAUGUCUAUGUAUCUGUUAGCCCACGGAUCUAGUGUUGCUUCACAGAUCGCCACUUAUCAGCAGGAUCCUUCCAUAUGCAUUUCAGGCAGUGUCCCUUCCCAUCUUUAUUCUAGGUCCCUGCCUGUAAGUCACUGUGCAUGGUGGCAGAAGCAUUCCUGUUCUCUAUCAUUAUUGUCAAGGCAGAGAUGGGGUGCUCUUAAUGGAACAGAGAGUCCAUGGAAAACCUCAGUCAGUGUAUCAGUGUAGCUUCAGAUCAUCGGGAGUCUGUUUUGAACAUGCAAGGGGCUCUGCUAAUCAUAACCUCUCCUUUCUAGAACAGGUCCAGAAUUUAGCGGAGCACUUUGUGAGCCCUCCACAUCUGGCUGUGGGACCUUGGGAUAAUGAGCUUCCUCAUUGGGGAGCAUAAACCCACAUUAGCUAUUCAUACAGAGCCUCUUGUAGUAGGACAAUCUACUGCCAAGAACUAGUAAAACCCUUGUUUUGAAAUCUCUGGGAGGUAAAACUUAAAAAGCAAACCCAACAAGUUGCUCUCUAGUCUCCUCCUAAUUGGGGCCAAACAGCAUAUGCUGCAGUAGUAACACAUUCUUUGAAGAAUGUAAAGGACUCUGUUUACAUCUGCCUCCUCCGAGUGUUGAUAGAAAAUGUGCAAAACCAUUUCACACCAGUGUCAGACAGAAGAGCGAGUCAGCUGGUGUUACUCUUUCACUUUGUUGAUGAAGUAUUGACUCUUGGAAUGCCACAGCAGUCGAGGUCUUCACACAUGUUUAAAAGAAAGAGUGAACAAGUGGCUGCAUUUCAAGACAUCACAAAUCAAUUUUUGUAAAAUAUUUUGUGCCCCAGGAGUUAACUUCACUGACUCCAGAAGCCCUGGUUAUGAUUUCCUUAUCAUCUUAAAAUCAACUGGGAUCAGACUUUUUACAUUUUUUUUUAAAAUACUUGAAUAUGACACUUCAAGUUUGAGAUCUCAUUUUCAUUUUAGAACACUGUCACAAGACUAAUCUGGUUAAUCCUUUUGUCACAGUUCUCGUGUGUGUGUGUGUGUGUGUGUGUGUGUGUGUGUGUGUGUGUAAACUGAAUGGUAACAUUUAAUCACUCUAUGGACCAUUGAAUUCUUGGGCAAUAAGUUUUUUAAUUGGCAUGAGAUAGUUCUUACACUGUCUAAUCAACCAACUUUGACUAGUCCUUUGAAAGAGACUCCCAAGUGUAUGACUUUGGGCCAACUCCCCAUAGGGCCAUGUAAAUGGAAAUAAUGCCCCUUCGGGUGACAUACCCUCAAAGUGUUUGCUAUUUUCAUGAACAUAAAUGCCCAUGUUCUUAAUAUCCGCUCUUUUUUGACAAGUCAUGUUUUGUGCUAUCAUCUGAACCCUAGAGAAGCAGUGGAAGAGGAAACCUUGCUACCACGUGUGUUUUGGCCAAAAGGUUCACAUGAUGAGGGUCAUGUGACCACAAGAAGCUCCAGAAAAGCGUGAGAACUUGCUUCAGCAUGGGGGGAGGGUUGGAGAUACAGAAAACACUCUGCUCUACAGGAGUUUUCCACAGUGUCUAUGUAGGAAAUUCCAUUUUCUCUUUCAACACCCAGGAAGACUCAGCGGCCAGUGAGGCUGACAGGCAAUUCACUAAGCACAAGAAGAAUUUUUUUCCAACCACGGAGUCCCUUGCCUCUCAAAGAAAUGCCCUCCAAGUUUGUUAUGGUUCUAUUCCUGCAACUUGUGGUAUCAGAGCCACUUCCUGGAAUUGUAAAAGUGCUGCCAGAAUAAAUGUUUUUCCCCUUCUAAGAAAAAAAAAAAUGACAGUGCUCAUAUUUGACACUUGUGCAUUGGACUUUCUUUUGAAUGAAUAAAGAGGAAAGGGUUUGAUGUGAUUCCUGAUGGAGUGUGUGAUGUUUUUCAUGCCACAGUCUGUGAAUUGUAAUUGUGGUUUCUCAGUUCACUGUGGGUUAUUUGGGCAGAAAAAAAAAAAAAAAAUUCAAUAAAAAUA